UUGUAGGGAAAGUGUUAUGAGUUGCUAUGAGAGUUAUUCAUCAUAAGAAGGUGAUGAAUACAAGCUCUCUCGAAGGAGUAAUGGUGCUAGAAUGUGAUCGAUCUGAUUGUUUAGUGAAUAAGGCAAAUAUGAAUUUCUCUUUAGUUAGAUAUUCUGAGGAGCUCCUCUGCACAUAUAUAAGGACUGCUGAGAGAGUUUUAAACUGUGGCCUGUUGUCUAUUCUUUUGAUCUGUCUACUCUGUCCGUCUGUUAGAAGUGAGAGCCAAGCAUCAGAAGAAAAAACAGAUGUUUGUAAAUUUCAAAAGGCAUUCGACGAAGCUCGCAGAGAUAUCAAGACAAAAAUCUUCAUAUAAUCUAAGUGCUAUAGUCCAGUUCUACACAAUGUUGCUGCUUGAAGGGAAAAGAACUGGUUCUUUUUUCACAUGGCCAAAUCAGAAGUGGGUCCGAGCAUGAUCUUCAGAUCUGAAAAAGAUAUGAAGACUUGACACCCUUGGCUGGAAGGCAGUUCACCUGCACUAAACUUCUGAAUCUCUCCCUCAUCUUUCUUAAUUAUAAGUUUUCCAAAAUUUGUUUAAUUAAGUACUUUAAUUUUUUGUAUUUGAUCUUGCUUUGAAAUUUAAGUAAAUUUAUGUAUUUAAAACCUAUAUGGAUAAAGUUAUAUGCCUUCCCUUUUCCCAGACUACAUUUUUUACAUGCAAAAUUUAGACAAGUUACACAUGGGGAAAAUCAUGAAAAUGUCCAUUCGGAUAGAAACGAACCCAGGUACUCUACUUUUAAUGGGCUGUUACAAAUUAAAGUUGAAUUUAUGUUAACAUAUUCUUUAUUGUGCAAUUUUUGCAGGAUUCUUUUUCCCUUAUUGAUCAUUCAGUUAAUAACAAUAAAAAAAUUGAAGUUUUUUUCAGCCCCUUUUUUUAUUACUUGCUAUGUCAAAUGCUCAUAUUCAAUUGCAGACAGAAUCCAAACAUCUGAUGCAAAGAAUAUAAACCAAAUUUUCAAAACAAGGUAAAAUAGGUCUUUCUUUACCUAGUUCAUCUUGUCUUGUAAAUUUAAAUGUAAGCCUUCUGUUAAUUUUAUUCAACUUUUAUGACUGUGAUUUGUAAAAUUUCUGUAUACAGUAAACUUUUGCUAUAUGUGGA